AGCGAGCAUGGCUCGGCGAUCGGCACGACCUGCGAUGUCGCCGACGAAGCCCAGGUAGCGGCGAUGAUCGAUCUUGCGAUCGCCCGCUAC
rnacentral:tRNA from 1 species